rnacentral:siRNA from 1 species
UCGUGCCCGGACCCUGUCGCACC